ACGUCGCCGCUGGGAGACUGUCUGGACUGGACUGUCUCUGAAUUUGACAAAUAGGACACACUUUUACCUCGUCUUCCUCGACUCUUCACACGGAGGACAGGAUGUGUGCCGAGUAUUGGCUUUUAUCGCCUCCCCGAAACGCUCACAGAAAGUGCUUUUGAGAGAAAAGGAUGUGAAAGUUUUGACGUGUCAGCAGAUUUGGCUUAAUGCGCAGACAGGUUCCCGGAAAUAGCAAUACCCAGGAGUAAGGCAGCAGAGAAAGGAAGCUUUGAAUGUUCUGAUGCCAGCCUGUCAUGUGCAGAUGGACGUUUGGACUGUCGACCUCGCUGAAGUGCUGCUGCGCUCGGAGGAAGAUGUCAUCCUGAGGAUGGGCUUUUUUUUGGUGAUGAUGUUGCCACUGUUGCUGCAGAACCGGGCUCCCGCUUUGUGCCUCUGUCAGCCAUGAUGCGUAACCAUAAGGCGAGUGACAGGCCGGUCCCCCCGGGCAGGGUGAGGGGGCCUGAGGUGAGUCUGCUGUAUCCUUGACCCUGUUUCCAAUAAAAACACCACUGGAUUGAAUGCAGCUGAAUAUAAUAUAAUAUUUUUGACAUAUGUAUUUACUUUCAUUCAUUAAAUGUUGGGCAAUUUGGAGUUCAACUAUGAUGUUAUGGAAAACUAACCCUCUAAAAAAAUUGUGAUCAUCAUUUUCUAUGGUUAAAUGUUUCUGAAAUAAGAACAAACCGAUUGUGGUCUUUCCUGGAGCACAGACUUUACUUUGCUGCUUUACUUUGUCAUACUUCACAUAGAGAGUCGAUGUUUAUCAUCAUCAAUGCAUCAUUUGAAUAAAAGCGGAAAUGUAACCAGCAACCUUUCUCUCUAACUCGUCAAUAAAACUCCACUUCAAAACCGUGUGCUUGCAAGUCAGGUUAUUUGCAAGAAUAGACCCAACAGGAAAGCCCGAAAUUGAGCAUUUCUUCAAAGUUCACAAAAUAUGAUGAAUGAAUGCAAUAUGUUCAUAGAAACUCAUUAUAAAUAACAUCACAUUCAUCGUUGCUUUCUCUCUGGAGAAAGAUUUGGCUUCCAGGAUUUGCAAGUCAACCCACUUAAACACAUCCCAAAAGUCAGUAGAAUGAUUGUUUCCCCUCUGACGGAAAAAAGUGUGUUUCUCAUGGGUCACUCAAACAGGGUGUGUGAAAUGAGAGUUGCCUGGCUGUGACUUUUGCAGAAAGCAUCCGCUGGCUAUUGUGUGCCCAGUCAAACCUCUGCAGGCACCAGCGGCCUGACUUCCAUACAUGAGAGAUCAAGGGUUACCAAGGUGCUUCACACAUCCAAGGCCUCAAUGUGAGCAGGGACGACCCCGGCCUGCACAGAAUACUCAUUUCCUUUUGGAUGUUGGCCGCCCUCGCCAACACCAGCCUCAAUGAAAACCUUGGUCCAUGACUGCGAUCUGCUGCUUGUACAGUAAAGUUUUUGUUUACCAGACGGAGACCGUUGAAUGAAGCCAGAAAAAAAAAAAAGUUAUCGCCAAGGUUCGGUCACUGAGCCACGGCAUUAACUUGUAUUCUAACAAGAUUAAAAUAUAUUCGUCCUGGGGAUUAGCAUAGUUAGGUGUCCUUUCACCUCGCGACAGUGGGCUUUGAUCUGCGUUGCGAGGCAAGAGUCCUCCUGGCUUGGACCUCGCCAUUGGAGUGCCAAGUGUGAAAUUGGCCUGAUGUCAUCCCCAUUCUUCACCUUUUACAUCUUUCACCACUUUAAUUAUGUUUCCGCCACAACGCCCGGGCACCUCGGAGCAGAUUCCACUGUGGCCGCAGGAAGCAUGCGUGUAAAGCACACCGUAGGGGAGGAGGAUGGCCGAGAGGGGGUCGUAGCCGGAUGGGACCUUUUUUGGGGGGGUUUAGCUUCUUUGCAAUUAAUUAUUGGCACUACUCCUAAAAAAACCCAACAAGCUAUUCCUGGACAUCACCUAGAAGUCUUCACCAAUGAUGCUGGGAUACAAGUCACAUUCUGUGUCCCGCGUUCAACUCUUCUCCCUGCCAAUAUUUCCAUGCAGCACGAGAGCGGGUAAGCAUGCAGAAAUGAAUGAAGUGUGUGUGUGAGGCAAGAAGGGAAAUAAUAAAGGCAGGUGAUAGUAAGAUGUGUGUGAGCGUGAGAGAAGGGGAACACAGUUUGGGUGGAAAGGCUCUGUGUGGAGAAUGGGUUACUGAGGAUGGGGGGGGGGGUAGAAACCAGCCACCUGCAGCCAUGACAGGCUUUGACCUUGGUUUCUCACUCCCCUCCUCUCUCUUUCCACGGCCCUCCCUCCCUUCCUUCCUUCCACUUCCAUUUCUGGACAGAAGCAUUUUUUUUCCAGCAGGGUGCAAGGAAGACCGACUGUGGUGAAGACAGCGGUCCAAAGCACAAACAAAGACUAGUGGUUCAAGUAUGAAAAUGCAGAUAGGCCAUUGUUGGGGUGGGGGUACAUGCCUGGGAAUUGUUCUCUUGCAUAAUGUUGAGCUCCUUGUGCAAAUGUUUUAAUCUGUGCCGCCAUGAAUUUGAUGGUGAAGGAGUGGGUGUUGGCGUGGAAUGAAGGAUUAUUGUGCCAUUCUACGUUUAUAAUUACACCUCUGAAUGUUUGACAUCUGGAAACCUUUUGUUCUAAGCCCCCCCCUCCCCUCUUAAAUCUGUAUUUUGAUUGCCAAAACAUUUUUUUUGUAUAAUCUUGAAGGUUUAUUUAUUCUUUUGCAAUUUCCAAGAGGCAGUUAAUUACACAAUGAAUACAUGAUACAAAGUAUGUACAUUUUCGUCUUUUUAGCAAAGGAUACUUCCAGGAAAAAAGGAAAAAAUAGCACUGUAAUCUCCAACUCUGUGCUGUUAUUUCAUUGAAAGGUUGUUGAUAUAUAGAUAGAUAUAUGCUGAUGAGUAAAUUCAUAAUGUGGUACCAGCAGUGUUCAUAAAGGCAUCCAACUAGAUUUCAAAGUAAUACUGCUUCUCUGAUUCGGCACAGCUCUCUUUCACAAAAAAGUCCAUGUGAACUUUUUAAGGCAAAGUGUGUUUCUGUUUGGAUUUUCCUCUUAUUUAAUUCACACACACUUUUUUUGCAGAUGCACAACAAAAACACUGAAAGGCAAAGGAGGGGAAAAAAAAGUCCACAAUUUGGUAUCUGCAACUUAGCUCACACUUUUCAUCCAUAGAAAUGAUAGACAGCUGUUUGCCCCGAGUACAGCACAACAAAUUGCAGCUUUCAUGCAAAAGGCCUCAUAGACACAUUUCCAUUCACAAAACAAAACAAACAAAACAAAAGUUAUUGCAGGAUAAACAAGCAGUGUAAACAGCUCCGAUAUCUACUCUAAAGCAACACUGGUCAUUGGAUAGAUUUUUUUUUCAAUAGAAUCUAUAUAAAUACACAUUUGAAUACAGUCACAGACAGAUGUCUUCUUUAAUGAUAAAUGAAUGUCAUAAAAUGUAUUUACUAGAUUUACCAAGAAUACAACCUGCAGAAUGCUUCUUUUAAUGCUACUUGUUUGUGUGACUGCCAUCAGUCAUUGAACACAGCAUGAUUGAUAUUGCCAUUAAAAAAAAAACAACCUAACUACCAUAGCUGCACACACAAAUAUACAUUUAUAGAAGCAACGUGUUCGAAAAUAAUGCUAUAAACCUCUCUUGUUAUUUAUACAUGAUUCAUUCAGCAAAAUGGGUUGGAUUUCAAUUCACAGUAGCCUCAAUGCAGCAGGAAAAUAAACAUUCUUUGGACUUGUUUCUUCUGAUCGAAGUGCCAGAUGUAACAAUGACAAUCAUUAUUGGAUGGCAUUCAUUCAUUAAUUAGUAGACCUCCUGCUGGGGGGCGAGGGGGGUGGGGGCAACAAACAAACAAUGACAACUUUAUACAACACCUUUUAUAGACGUGAUAUUGCAGAAAUAUCUUUUUUUUUUAAACUAUUUAUGCUGGUAUACUUUUUCCACUGGCCCUUGAUGACAUUAUUGCAUUGUAAGAAGGAACAUCCCUCUUUAUAUUCCUCUGUGAUAAUCUGGAUUGGCUAAACUUUCAUGCUUGCUGUGUUGGGAGAGAAAAGGUCCACAAGGGCGCUUGUGUUCAGUCGCUGUCGGAUUUGUCGUCCUUGGUGACGGUGGCGUGGUUGUAGAGUCCCUGGGCCAUCAGGUGCAAGGCCAGAGAGUUCUUACUGCCGCUAGCCUUCUUGAUCUUGGCCCGCUUGUUCUGGAACCAGAUCUUGAUCUGCGACUCGUUCAGGCCCAGCUCCUGAGCCAGGUUCUGGCGCCUCUGCUCGGUCAGAUAGCGGUUGUUCUGGAACUCCGAUUUGAGUCUCUGCAGCUGCUCCGCUGUGAAGGCCGUCCUUGGUCGCUUGUCCUCCUUGCUGGUGCUCUUCUUCUUUGGCUUGCGGGAUCUCGGCCCUGCCGGGGGGGCAGACACAGGACCGGGUUCACCGAGGCGGGCAGAUAUUAACAAAAUACACGCUUGUACGUGGAAUGUCAAUCAAGAAAUGCUCGAACGAAAACAAGCCCCUCCCUUCGUGUCCACACACACACUCACACAAAUUAAUUUAUUAAGAUAGCACCUAAUUUGGAUCAUCAUGCUUUCUAUUUAAUCCUCAUUUCAAAGAUGCUUCACUCACUUUUACCUAAAAACAUUUAACACCCCCCACACACACAUAUAUAGUGUACUACUUACAACUCGUAGUAGUCGCCUCCUCCAGCUACAUAAUGCAUGAGAACAAGUUGUACUACACUUUUUUUAAAUCCUCCGCCACAUUUUAGCUACAUUGUUGAUGCAUGCGAACUAGCUUGUUGCGUGUGUUUUCUAAGGUUAGCUUAAAAAACAAACAAAUAAACACAUGCAGACGUUACUUUAUUUUUCUUAACAGCGCAUCGAUGCAGGAAAUUAUCGGUCGAUUGUAGUCUCUUGUAGUGUUAAUUUAAACGUGCCGAUAUUUAUGGAAAUAUGCGUUUAAUAUUGGUAAACGGCGCGUGGCUGUGUUUAAUAAUGCUGUUUCCGUGGAUUUGAAGUGUAUCGGCACAGCUGAUGCGUGGAAGUCGGUCACGGAAAAAGCGGGUCAGUGUUACGGUGCUAUUUCAGGUUAUUGUGCGUAAAAGAGGAACCACCAACCUGAAGAGGGCCGAUCCGAGUACCGGGUGCAGUAGACCCAGGCCGGCCACAGCAUGGGCUGCUGAGCCGGGGCUGGGUUGGAGCUGGAUUGGGAACUGUCCGAGUCUGAGCUUAGGCACUGGUCUCCGCUCUCCCCGCGGCUUUUCAGGGGCUCCUCGGCGGCUAUGGGUGGCUUCUUAGCCCCGCUGACCGUGUGCGGCGUGGAGGUACCUUCCGUCGGCACCGUGCUUCCUACCGGCUCCGUCUGCGGAGCGGCGGGGCUGCCGAGGCUCUCCGGCGGCGACGCUAACGUACUCUCGCCUCGGUGGGCUGCCGGCUCCUUUUUGCGUCCAAAAUCCGGCCUCAGGAUGUUGUCGAUGAAGAAGUUGGUGACCCGGUGAGGGUUCUGCAGAUUGGCCUGCACCUGCAGGAGCGGCAGGAUGGCUCUGUUGGACUCCGCCGCCUCCUGCCGCUCCAGCUCGUCUCUGUUACGCUGCUCAUGUUCUUCCAUGGUGAUGCACUUUUCCCGCUUCGCUCGUGAAGCCUUUUUACCGCGAAAUGAAGUUCACACAAGGAUGCGCGAGACAAGUCAAAGACUAAAGAGUGCAGCCUCGGACACCAUGCAAAGCCUGGCGGGAGCGUCCUCGGAGAAAAACAUACUUUUUGGACAUUUACGUCCCUGGGUGUUGCGCUUAUAAGUGCGCCAGAGCCAUUGGCGCAAAUGUGUUGUGUCCGCACACAGCUAUCAGCGACACCAAGGUAAAUAAAAUACUCUCACCGUGGACUUUACUUCUUCUUUUCAAUACGAGACACCCUUGAGUGACGUCUCCACACUGUCCACCCAGACACGUGCCUCUGGCCAAUAGGAAGCCAGGAACCAGGCCACGUGACGGCCACUCUCGGCUCUCAGCCACGCCCCCUUCACGCUGCCUGCUUGCCAAUCAGCGGCGAGCUUCUCUCAAUUAUUGAUUCGGCAGCUAAAAUACACUUUAUUUACUCUCACAUGUCACUUGAACACAAAUAAGACCUUUAUCUUCAUUUUUAUACAUCGUAUUCUUACACCCGACGCCAUUAUGUGCCCCCCCCGAACAGGAAAUAACAACCAAAUAUAAGACACGUAUGUCAACAUUGCUUGUGAUGUACAAAAAGUAAAAGUGUUGUUUUUUUAUUCGGCGUCGUAAAUGCUCAUGUCUGCAUUUUAAUUCGGAAAAAAACAAUUUCUACAUAUUUACACGGUGACAUUGUGGUGUGAAAGAAUAUAAACAAUAACAAUCAUGUUAUUUGUACGCUUCCCCCCACCCCCCCAGGCUGUCCUGUGGUGACGCUGCCUGCGGAGGUCAAGCAGAACCGGGCUGGUCCAUAUGCCUUUAAAAGGAACCACUGAUGCAAACCAAGUGUUUUGUGUGCACGGUGCCGCCAAAGACAAAACUUUUGGUCUAACUUUGCUGACCGACUUUCUAGUCCUCCUGCAGGGACAGCACAUGCAGGUCUGUAAAGGGGGACCGGACUCUUCGGACAAGGAGAACAGCAAUGGACUAUUUGAAGGCACGAAGAAGAAGAAGCACACGCCGUAAAGGUCGCUGCUGUACGGGCGGUCUCACUCGGCCCACCAGACACCCACCUUCACGGUACUGCAAGAAGGCUGUACACUUGCAUGUACGUGCACGUCAUUCUUCAUAAAGCACGCGCCACCCGACAUGACGUCACGUCGACAACUUGAAAUGUUUGCAAAAUAUGCAUCACUUUGGCUCUUAAUUCUAAGGAGUUGAUUGUAUUUUACUUCCUGUCACUUUCAUCCUGACUAAAAUUCCAAUUUUUGUACGUCAUGAAAUGAAUUUUUUUUAAAUAUUCCUACAUUUAUUUAGGUACCGUUUGAAGUAUUGUUUUUUUAAAUUAAUCAUCACAUUUUCCUCCCAACGUUUGCUUUUCCUCCUCAUAGGAAAGUAUCGCAGCAUUUCCAUCCAUGAGAACACAAUGUGGUGCCACGCAAAAAGCUACCCAAAGACUUGAAAAGUACAUCUCUACAGGUCGGAACAUUUAUUCGUGGAUUUUUGCUACCGAUUUUAUAAAAUCAGACCUAAAAGAACGCGUUAAAAAAACUCAAUGUCCACCGCUUCCACGUGCAGACUAUAGUAUUUCUAUAUUUCUUAUGUUGCAGUCAUUUCCACCAAGAAGGUGUUAUUUCUUUAUUAUAGACUUAUUUUUUUGCAAUACUUAUCAUGGCCACAGCAGCCCUAUUAUUAUAUUAUCAUGUUAUUAUUAUGUUUCCUUAUGUGUUGUAAAUAAAGACGGCCCUAUAGUGGAUCUAUUAUGAUUAUAUUAUUUUUUUCCCUCCAUUCUGUAAAUAAAGAUGGUCACAUAGUGAAGGAUUAUUAUUAUUAUUAUUAUUAUUAAAAACGAUUAAAGACGUCUGGCGAAACAUUAUUCGUGUAAGUGUGAAAGCAUGGCUUAUUAUUGAGGAAAAUAUUCCAUAUUAAGAAAUUAUUAUUUUAGCUUGUAUUAAUAGUUUUAUUACAGAAGGGGAAACGGUUGCAAAAAGACGAAAUUAUGUUCGUGGUGACGUUUAUGAAUAAAAGUACAAUAUCGACUAAAUCCUGCCAGUAUCAACUGAAAGCACGAGAGCAUCUCCCGUGUUGCGUUUAUGUUCCUCCUUUGUGCAGACAUUCGUAUUUGAAUAUUGUCCUUUUUAAAAGUGUGUAUACUAUAGACUGUACACUUGCAGCCAAUUGACAUGCAGCGCACGCGCUACUAUACUAUAAGCGUGUUGCGCAUGUGCAGAGUGUCGGGCGCUGCAAGUCAGCGUCAGAGAGAGUUUGUAGACGAGCCGAGGUGACGCUCACACGGAGGGAUUUGUGAAUGGACGCCGUGAUGUGUGCCAGCUCACAGAUCACAGGCCGGUGGACCCCCCAACCCCCCCGCCCUCCGAAAGAAGAAGGGAUGAGGAAAGGGGAGGGGGGCGUCUGUAAGAUAUCACCAUGCGGGGGUCGCUUCCUGUGCAGCCUUUGACAAUGUAUGAUUUGUUUCUUUUUGUGUGGGUCUGAACCCGGAAGCACUUUGACAUCCAGGGUCAAUCAGCCCAGCCUAAAAGGGAACGCUAAUAGUAAACAUCGAUUCAAUUAGACUGAAUACAGUAAAUAUAUUAUAUAUGGAGAUGUGCGGUUAUAAAUGCCACAUCUUGUACAUAAAUUGGUGGUGUUUAAAAAAAGCGGCCAAACUUCCGAGGUUUGACUCCCUGUGAUCGCCGUGGCGGAGAUAAUAAGCCUGCUUUGUUCUUAAGGAGCUUUUCUCCGUGAACACAAACAAGCAGCUUCCCUGCAGGAUGAAGACUAAUGGAAGGGCGGCACUAAUGUGAGAAAAGUCUCCUAAAUCAUCAAAUCAUCAUCACAGACUUUUUUACCUUAAACAUACAAUAACACAUUUUUAAAUAUAAUAAUACAAAUUCUUCAGCAGCAAAAACAAAGAGGGUUGAUUCAUUUGAUUGAUUGAUUUAGUGUCUGUAAAAUAUAUGUGAUAUAUAAAUAUCUAUAUAUAAAUAUCUAGGUGUUACUGUGGCCCCUGAGGGAGGGGGGUGGUCCCUGCAGGUCCCUACAGGUCCCUGAAUGCAUCAACCUCCUGUGCAUGCUUGCAGGAUGCUUCUCGGGCUUCGGAUUGUCCGCAUGCCUCGUGCACCUGUCCCCCCCCCAAAAAACCCCAACUCCAGCCCACCCCCGUCCGGUCCUUUUUAGGAUGAGGGCAGGAGGGAAGCUCUGGUUGUUUGUAUGCAGAGCAGGUGUAUGUACUUCUAUGUACUUCUAGAAGAUCAUAUUCUUACUUAGUGAUGGGUUUAUGACGGUCGGCACGUGAUUUAGGAAUAAAACAUGUCUGCAGGUGUAGCUGUACCUCAGAAGUACAGCUACAUUAUAUACUAUAUACUAUAUAAUAUAUACUAUAUAGUAUAUACUAUAUAGUAUAUAGUAUAUAGUACAGCAUUGGCCAAAUAAAAGCAGUGUUGCUUAUUUCAUUCUACUGAUUAAUGCAUUGUUGUAUUUGUACUUCCUGUAGUUUUAUUCUAGCAUGUACAUGCAGUGUUGUAUUUACUCGUGCACUUCAAUGAAAAUAUAUUUGUACUUAUUCAUGUAAUAAAUUGUAAUAACUUUAUG